CCUACGGGUGGCAGCAGUGAGGAAUAUUGGUCAAUGGGCGGAAGCCUGAACCAGCCAAGCCGCGUGAGGGAUGAAGGUUCUAUGGAUCGUAAACCCCGUUUAUAAGGGAAUAAAGUGUGGGACGUGGCCUAUUUUGUAUGUACCUUAUGAAUAAGGAUCGGCUAACUCCGUGCCAGCAGCCGCGGUAAUACGGAGGAUCCGAGCGUUAUCCGGAUUUAUUGGGUUGAAAGGGUGCGUAGGCGGCCUUUUAAGUCAGCGGUGAAAGCCUGUGGCUCAACCAGAGAAUUGCCUUGGAAACUGGGGGGCUUGAGUAUGUUUGAGGCAGGCGGAAUGCGUGGUGUAGCGGUGAAAUGCUUAGAUAUCACGCAGAACCCCGAUUGCGAAGGCAGCCUGCCAAGCCAUGACUGACGCUGAUGCACGAAAGCGUGGGGAUCAAACAGGAUUAGAUACCCCUGUAGUC
rnacentral:rRNA from 1 species